AUUGAACGCUGGCGGCAGGCCUAACACAUGCAAGUCGAGCGGAUGAAGGGGGCUUGCUCCUGGAUUCAGCGGCGGACGGGUGAGUAAUGCCUAGCAAUCUGCCUGGUAGUGGGGGAUAACGUCCGGAAACGGGCGCUAAUACCGCAUACGUCCUGAGGGAGAAAGUGGGGGAUCUUCGGACCUCACGCUAUCAGAUGAGCCUAGGUCGGAUUAGCUAGUUGGUGGGGUAAAGGCCUACCAAGGCGACGAUCCGUAACUGGUCUGAGAGGAUGAUCAGUCACACUGGAACUGAGACACGGUCCAGACUCCUACGGGAGGCAGCAGUGGGGAAUAUUGGACAAUGGGCGAAAGCCUGAUCCAGCCAUGCCGCGUGUGUGAAGAAGGUCUUCGGAUUGUAAAGCACUUUAAGUUGGGAGGAAGGGCAGUAAGUUAAUACCUUGCUGUUUUGACGUUACCAACAGAAUAAGCACCGGCUAACUUCGUG
rnacentral:rRNA from 1 species